rnacentral:lncRNA from 1 species
CCUUCUCCUGGGCUCCCUCCUGGCCCUCCACCAAGCGGCAACAUCUCCCAGGACAAAGGACACAGGUUUCUGAGGGAAGAGAGAAAGAGAAAGGAAGAAGUGGAAAGUGCGGAACCCCAAUGAGUAGGGCACAGAAAGGAGGGCGAGCAGAGACAGCAAGAGGUCAGAUCAGGACAGCAAGGUUCCAGGAGGAUGAGACAGAGGUUCCACGUCUCCAGGCAAGCAGAGGAAUCACAGCACACUGGGAUUACGGAAGUUAUGUCCGGCAAAGCGAGCUUCAUCCCCCAGCUCUUCCUCAAUUCUGAGAGAGAU